UACGUAGGGUGCGAGCGUUGUCCGGAACUACUGGGCGUAAAGAGCUCGUAGGUGGUUUGUCGCGUUGUUCGUGAAAACUCACAGCUUAACUGUGGGCGUGCGGGCGAUACGGGCAGACUGGAGUACUGCAGGGGAGACUGGAAUUCCUGGUGUAGCGGUGGAAUGCGCAGAUAUCAGGAGGAACACCGGUGGCGAAGGCGGGUCUCUGGGCAGUAACUGACGCUGAGGAGCGAAAGCGUGGGGAGCGAACAGG
rnacentral:rRNA from 1 species